rnacentral:rRNA from 1 species
UACGUAGGGACCGAGCGUUGUCCGGAAUCAUUGGGCGUAAAGCGCGUGUAGGCGGCCCGGUAAGUCCGCUGUGAAAGUCGGGGGGCUCAACCUCGAAUGCCGGUGGAUACUGUCGGGCUAGAGUGCGGGAGAGGCGAGUGGAAUUCCUGGUGUAGCGGUGAAAUGCGCAGAUAUCAGGAGGAACACCGAUUGCGAAGGCAGCUCGCUGGAACGUAACUGACGCUGAGACGCGAAAGCGUGGGGAGCAAACAGG